rnacentral:misc_RNA from 1 species
UCGGUGGCGGCAGCAAUAUAGACGCCGAUAUCCAGAUGAGUUUUUAGACAAGGCGGACUCAAGGGGAAAGGGUGACUACCAAAUUGACUAUGAACCGGCUCCAAGGAUCACUGAAGCUGACAAAACAAAUGAUAGAAAGUAAGACAUGACUAAAAGGGCAUUCUUUCCUCCCGCUUAUACUUGGAGGUGUUCAUAUGACUUCUGGCUGAAUUUUUCUAAGUGUUUAUUUUAUGGAUGUCUAUUCUUCUAAUUUCCAUAGAGAUUGCUUAUUGAGAUUACAUUAUGUAGUUCUUGCAUAUAAUUGCAUACGUUUAUCUGUUAGAAAUAUUGUUGACAUUGGUAGAAGAAAUUCAAGUUAGUUUCAGUUUUUGCAAAGUUUUUCAUUAAAACACCAACUGUAAUGUUAUUGGGGUGUUCAUUUGAUGGAAGAGGAUAAUGAUUGUGCUAAUUAUGUUUUAUGGAAAAUUAACUUAUCAUUAAUGAGAUAGCAUGCUGUUGUGCUCAAAUGCAUGAUACAAUGUUGAGGUAUGAGGGUAGGCAUGUCAUUGCCAAAAAUGAUUUGAUAGUGGAAUGGAGGAUGCUUUUACUCAGUUCAUUUCUGUUGCUUUGAAUGAUCUAGCACUACAGCUUCUGCUGACUUUUGAUUUGCACUAUGACAGCACUGAAGUUUUUUAUUCAUAAUAGUUUUUCUCUGCAACUAAAAAAGUUCACACAAUAUUUUUUCGUUUUAUAACAAUCAACCUUCACAUUCUUUCUUUUUUUGAAGUUAUCUAAGAAUUCAGAUCUCAAGGCCUAAUCUCUAUAGUGGCUGAUGGAAGGUCUUUUUCUUUUGUUAAAAAGAGCUUAUCUUUUCAACAUCACGUAUGGAAUUUAUAUUGGGGCUGAUUUCUUAUGAACUUUGAAUAGUCUAAUGAUUAUGAUAUCCAAAUGUGUUUUCUUUAGGUCUUUACAGAGGGCACUUGACAGAAGACUUUACCUCCUUCUGUAUGGAAAGGCAUAUGGAUCUCCUAGUGGGAAGGCUGUCUGGCAUUUUCCUGAAAAGAUUUAUGAGGCUGAGGAGACAUUGCGCAAGGUCAACAUUAUUGUGUGAUCUUUUAUUUCCUACUGCUUUUUCUCUUCUCCUCAUUUAAAUUCCAAAACUUCGCAGUGUGCAGAGUCUGCAUUACAGUCUGUCUUAGGGAACCUUUCACACACUUAUUUUGUUGGAAAUGCUCCUAUGGGUCACAUGAUCAUACAGCCAACAGAUAAUGCACCAGAUGCUGGUUAUAAGCAAUUCUUCUUUAAGUCCCAGGUGAUUGCGACAAACAAGUUUAAAAUUGGGAAGUGUGAGGAUUUUGUUUGGGUGACUAAGGAUGAAUUACUGGAGUAUUUUCCUGAGCAAGCUGAAUUUCUCAACAAGAUGAUCAUCAACUGAAUUGGAAGUUCUAUUUGAUGUUCAAUCUCAACGAAUCUUCUUUGGAACCAUCUGUAUGCUCUAUGUAAAUCUGUUUUGCGUUCAAUACAUGCAAUUCAAUCAGCAGAAUGAAUUUUUGAUAGUCCUCAGGAUUCAGGAACAGUUAAAAUUGCUGCAGAAUGCCAAUGAGAAUUUGCUCUAUUAUAUCCUGAAUAGAAGAGGGUUUAAUUUCAAUGAAACAUUACGUUAUUAGGUUGAAAAGGUCGGGAAGUUAAGCAAUAAAAAUUGGAAAAUUUGUGUUUCAGUGUCAUCAAAACUGGGCUAGGUUGUGGAUUGAGCCCCCUUAAGCCCCAACAAUAGUUAGUUACUAUACACAUAUGUCCUGGAGUUUCGGUCUGUUAUUGUAGAAAUUAUAAAACACAGCAAUAUUGACAUUUGUUUUUAAAUGGAUCUUUAUAAUAUAAUAAAUAUUAAAUAGUAA